UACACAACCUUCCUACAAGUGGGGAAUAGCCCAGAGAAAUUUGGAUUAAUACCCGUAACAUAUAAAGAUGGCAUCAUUUUUAUAUUAUAGCUACGGCGCUUGUUGAUGGGUGUGCGGCUGAUUAGGUAGUUGGCGGGGUAAUGGCCCACCAAGCCUGCGAUCAGUAGCUGAUGUGAGAGCAUGAUCAGCCACACGGGCACUGAGACACGGGCCCG
rnacentral:rRNA from 1 species